UGGUUGGGUUGAGGUUCAUGCUGGAUAUUGUGGACACAAAAAGUAGUGGGAUUUCAUGCAUUAUAAUUGCUAUUUUGGUUUCUAAGGUGUCACGAGGACUAACAUGGAUGGUGAGAUCAAUGGGGGGGAGUUGAAUUAGAUCGAAAAGGUUUUCCUUUAUGGCUGAUUGGAGAAUUUGUGUCUCAGCUUUUGAUGGAGUAGAGGUUUUGAUUGAACCACAAAAGAAGGUGAGUUUGGAAAUGAUUUUGUGAGUGACUAAACGCUUGGCAAGUUCUAGGGCAGGGAUUAUGUGACCCAUUCCUGGUGAAGCAAGUAGAAGAGCAUGAUGAUUAUUGUUUGAGAUGGCCAUGAGAUGGGAAUUAUGAAAUGAAACUAAUGAUUGAAUGGGAAUUAUGAAAUGAAACUAAUGAUUGAAUGGGAAUUAUGAAAUGAAACUAAUGAUUGAAUGGGAAUAGGGUAAGGGAAUCAAUGUAGGAUUGAGCUAGGCAGAGAUGCUUAUUUGGUGAUAUUUAUAUUUGAGAUAGUCAGAGAGAAAGUGAAGUCAAACGGUAUUUGGAGGAAUGGUGUAUGUGCAUUAUGUCCAAUAAACAAAUUUAGAUGAUUGUGCCAAUGAAUAAUUUUUUAUACAUCAUACGUAAUAUUUAAUUUGGUAGCAGAAGAAAAGAUAUAUAAUAAGAAGAAAAAAAACGUGAGAAAUACAAUUGGGAUUAGGACCACUUCCCACUCCUUGGAUUCGAGCUCCCUAUAACAUAACAAGUUACAGCUCAAGUUGACACUUUGGUAGUGGAUCUUGAUCUCCUACAUUUAACUAAACUUUUUAACUGCACAAAUCCCAACCCCUUUUUUUUAUUGAAUAUGUAUCUCAACCCUUUAAAAUAUUUUAUGUUAAAUAAAGCAUAAAGCAUAAAAUUGAAUCGAAAAAAAGUAGUACAUUUUAUGCAAUUCAGUAUUGAAGUGUGGCAUCUAUAUUUAUAUAAAAUUAUAUAAAGGAAUACUCCAUUAAAUUUACACUUCUGUCUUCACUUGUUUGCCUGGUAAUUACUUGUAUUUUAUUUUCUUUUGUUUUCAAUAUUUUAAAAUUAUAAAUAAUUUUAUUUAUUUAAUUAUUAAAUAAAUAUUUUUAAUUUUAAUUUUUAUUAGUUUUAUUUAAUAUUAUUUAAAGUCUUGUAUAUUUUUAUGGUUAUAUUUAGUAUGCUAUAUAUUUUUUAAUAUUAUUUUAUUUAAUAAAAACAAUGUCACACUGUACAAAAUCACCUGCUGUGAGAUACUUGCCGGUGCCAGCUUUGGUGACAGGUGGGCGCACAGACCAAACAAAUUUUUUUCCACUCAGAAUCUCUUUCAUUUCCACAAAUGAUAUUGUGUAUCCACUCCCGUGUGCAUUAUGUCCAGUAAACAAAUUUAGAUGAUUCUGCCAAUGAAUAAUUUUUGUUGGUUACAGCUCAAGUUGACACUUUGUAGGGGAUCUUGAUCUCCUAGGUUUAACUAAACUUCUUAACUGCACAAAUCCCAACCCUUUUUUUAUUGAUUAUGGAUUUCCCUUUUUUAUUGAUUAUGGAUCUCAACCUUUUAAAAUAUUUUAUGUUAAAUAAAUCAUAAAGCAUAAAAUUGAAUCGAAAAAAGGAUUUUUGUAACAAUAAUGGGUAAAAAUUUUCCCAAUUUUUCAAUCGAGGAUAUAUUUUUAAAAAAUUAUUCAAAACAGGAUAAGUCGUAACAGGUGUUUACGACUUUUAACUCAGAACGUAACAUCUGUUACGAUUUUUUUUUUAUUUUUUUAAUUUUUUUAACUGAAGUUGUAAAAUUAUUUAUGACUUCAGCGCAAAUGUUAUCUUUUUACGACUUUAAAGUUAUAAAAAAAAAUUUAAACCGAAGUCGUAAAAUUGUUUAUAAAUUUUUUUUUUGUUUUACGACUUUAAAGUCGUAAAUUUUUUUUUUAAAAUUUUUUAAAGGUUUAAGAAACCUAUAUUUUUUCUAAAAAAAUGUUUUUUUACUAUUUAUAAACAUGUUUUUGUUUUGUUAACCUUUUUUUUCUUUUCGUAAAUCUGUUUUUUCUUUUAAAUUUAAUAUUUUUACGGUUUUAUUUUUAUUUUAAAUAAAAAAAUUAAAAAAUAAAUAUUGAAAUAUAUAAUAAAUAAUAUUAAGUUGACUUACUUAUUAGUAUAUUUUUUGUGAUUUUAUUUGAUAUGUUAUUAUUUUAUUUUAAUAUUUUAUUAUUUAAAACAUGUUAUAUAUAUUUUUAAUAUAGUUUACUUUAAAUGUUUUUUAAAGUUUAAAUAAUCUAUCAAUAAAAAUUAAAAACAACAUAAUUAAUACAUUAAUAUAAAACACACAAUAAAAAUGAAAGAAAAAUAUAAAAAUUACAAGUUAUUUUAGUCAUAUACUUGUUUGUAUGGACAUUUAGUCCGAUUAUGUCCUUCACUUCUACAUAAUGAGCAUUUCUUAGGCCUAUUUGGAAUUGGUUCAUCCAUAUCAUUAUGUAUUUGAGUAGUGGUCGGCUUGCCUAAUGUUUGUCGCCAUUUCGAAGGAUCAGACAUAAAAUGCGGACCUAAAUAUUGAGGUCAUGUGUCUUCACUUCCAAGGGAAUGAAAAUGAUGUUGAUAAACUUUGAAAAUAUUUUCCAACUUGUAUACAGGGUCAACAAAAGUCAUCAUAAUUUAAAUUGCAAAAAGCACACGCUGUAGUUGCAUGCGAGCAAGGUAGUCGAAGUGCUUGAAAUUAUCCAUAAUCACAUGACCAUUCAUUCAAUUUGACAGUGCAUGUCAUUGCUCGUCAACCAAGUCGCGUAUUUGCAAUUUCUUGAACCUUAAACUCCCUUGUUUCUCAAACAUACAUGCGAACAUAAUGUGAGAUAGCAAUGUGUUGAUUUUCUUACAUCAUGACAUAUACGUCUUCGGAGUACCUAUGCCCUGCCUUAAUCAUAUUCAUGAUUUUGAUGUCAUUAGUAACAAAUGAAUCAUUUAUUUUAUUAAAUGUUUCAUUGACUAAGAUAGUAAUAAGUAAUGCUUGGACUCCUUUCAAAAUAGAAUUCAUACAUUCAGCAAGGUUGGUAGUCAUAUGGCCAUACCGUUGUGAUUUCAAUCCUCCUUCAUAGCCACAAAGUCACAACUCUCUUUUUACUUCAAAAUCUCCAAAAACAUGCUCAAGAGGAAAAGAUAAAAGUUUCUCUUCAAAACCCAUUAUUACAAAACCUAAUUUGAGUGAUUAUCAGCACAGAUGGACCACGACCUUGGUCAAGUUACCAUAGUCAUAGUGAAAGUUUGUUGAAAUCUAACACUCAACCAAGGUGAGGCAACCAUGGCCAUGGUCAGAUGACCACAACCAUGAUCAGGUGACCACACGGCCAUGGUGGACGUUGUAGAGUUCAUAUUUCUUUUAGAUUGCAUGUUUUUUUCUCUUUUCCACUCUAGAGUUCUUGAACAUCUGUCUUACACAAACUAACACCAAAACAUAAGUUAUGUCAAUAAAAUGAAAUAAUAUGCAUUGUCAUACCCUAAUUUCGUCCAGGGACCAUUGUUUGGUGGCAUGCAACCUUCGCUUGACCGCUUUGAGGUACUUAACACACAUCGUUAGACAAUCCAUGAAGUUUCGCGGCAUGCCAGAAGUCGAAAGGAAGCAAUGUUGCGCAAUCCGUAAAGUUCUGCAACAUUCAAAAGGUCAAAAAGGGCAUUGUUGCGUAAUCCGUAAGGUUUCACGACAUUCCGGAAAGAAAAUAAGUGUCGUUACAUAAUCCGUAAAGUUUCAUAACGUUACGAAAAAGGAAUCAGCAAAAAAACACAAAGGGGAGGUGUAUUUAGUAAAAUGGGGGGGGUGCAAAUAGCAAUUAUCAAAUCUGGGCUCUUCUAGAGGAUUCUGGGCAUUUUCUUGCCUAAGGUGGAAGCAACCUAGCUCGCCUGGGCAAGCUGAGCUCACUUGGGCGAGCUGGGCGGCAACCACCUUCCCCGUUUUGUUAAAAAAUGGCUUCCGGGACUUCUGUAAUACUUCAGUAAAAUUCUCAUAACCCUAAAUAAGCAUAUUUCACUUAAUAUGGGUGAGAAUGAAGAGAAAAAAAAGAAUAAAUUCAAGUCCUAUAUGCUUGCGUAAAGCUUACGUAACGUUUCCGUAAAGUACGAAAGAAGAGGGGUGAACUUAUCAAGAUGGGGGUGCAAAUAACAAUUUUCAAAUUUUUGAAUUUGGGCCUUCCUGAACAGUUUCGAAGCAGGGUUGCUUAUGGAGGAAGCAAGCCAGCUCGCCUGGGUGAGCUGGACGGCAACCUCCUCCCCCCUUUUCCUAUAAAUAGGCGAAGGGAGGUUGUUCCAAAGAUGCAUAACCCCCUUGGCUAUGCAUUUCAGUUGUUUUGGGUGAAAAAAAUUGUUUCCGUGAAGAAAAUCCAAGCCGAGGUGCUUUCGAGACGUUUCCGUGAGCAAAUCCGUGAAGGUUUUCCGUCGUUCUUCACCGUUCUUCAUCCGUUCUUCGUUCUUCAACGGGUAAGUUUUUGAAUCCGAGACUUUCAAUUCAUUUCUUGUUUUUUUAGCUUUCAUCUUCAUUUCGUUCAUUUUCGGUUUUCUUUUCUUCCGUUUUUAACGAGCUUUUACCGUUUAUUUAAGCCGUUUACUCACCUAAUAAAUGAUACAAUGAAUUUCAAUCGAUCAUUUGUGUUGUAAUCUCGUUUAAUCACUGUUAAAACAAAAUCUAACCGAUCGUUCACACUGUAACCAUGGUUAAACCAAAAAAGGUAAAAUAAUAAUAAAAUAAUCAAAAUAUCUUUAAAAAUAAUAAUAAAAUAAUCAAAAUAUCUUGAAUAAAAUAAUCAAAAAAAUCAAUUGGACGUUUUUCUUUGGGAGUUUCCUUGAAUGAAUUGACUAAUAACCAAAGUGAAACUAAAGUUAAAAUCAACUCACAAAUCAAGCUUUGUCCGCAAAAAAUUACUAAAAACCGUUUUAAGGUCCAAUGCCUUAAACGGUCCUCUUUGCUUUUAUCGGUUAACAUGGACCGUUCAAAAGCAUAAAAUCAACAUGUAACUUUACCGCUUUUGCAAGAACUACGUAGGUCUGAUUUCCUCAUCGCAAUUGAGGAUAUGUAGGAGCAAAAGCCCUACUUUUGUCGACCACCCCAAGAGAUCGUUAAUGGUCCAACGCCUUAACGUUUCUCUACUUUCAAAAACCAAGAGAUCGUUAAUGGUCAAACGCCUUAACGUUUAUCUCCUUUCAAAAUCAAAAGAUCGUUUAAUGGUCCAAUGCCUUAAACGACAUUUGUUCAGUCAAAAUAUAUCUUGCAAAAAAAGAUAAGAACAACUUAACCAACGUUCAGUUCUCAAAGAACUACGUAGGUCUGAUUUUCUUAUCGCAAUUGAGGAAUACGUAGGAGCGAGGGAAACACCCUUGUCGACCACAAAAAGAUAAAAAAUACAAAAGGCAUAAAAAGAUAUAAAAAGGUAAAAAAAAAGGGAAAAUAAAACAAAUUGAAGUCAUAUUUGCACACUUGAUUAAAGGUUGUCGUCCCUUGUGACGGACGCGUGGGGUGCUAAUACCUUCCCCGUGCAUAAAUACAACUCUCGAACCUUUCACACUUAAAGUUCGUGGACCACACCUUUCCGGUUUUUUCGAUGUUUUCCUCGAAUAAACGUUGGUGGCGACUCCGCGCAUUUUCCUCCCAUGGAAGACGCACCCGUGAGCCCCGCGUCGCCCUCCCGUCGAAGGGUGGGUUGUGACAGUUAGCGACUCCACUAGGGACUGUUUUUAGAGAGUUAGGCCUUCUAAUCUCGUGUAAUAUCAUGACUUCCUCUUUUGUUGGUUUCCUUUUAUUUCUCUUAUGUUCUUGUAUAUAACUCUUUGAUGCUUUUAGUGUGUUUUUUGAAAUGUAUGCCUGAGAUAGAUAUUUAUUCAUUUGAUGCACACAAACACCAACACUAUUUGUACACACGGUGAGUUGAAAAAGGGCCCUAUACCCGGGUCCAUGGGAACAUAAGGAGUGGAGGUGAAUUUGUGGUCAUGCUGGGUAUCCGACUUGCUUGAUAACAGUGAACCCUCAUCUAGAGUUUUUCUCUUUGAUAACAUAUUGUUGCUGGUAGUCCCUACUGCCGCAAUAUGUUUUUUCGAAGGGGAUGAUACCUCUAGAAACCAUUAAGAGAGAUAUGACCACCUUGGGAAUUAUCACUAAAAGCCUUUUAGUUCCUCCCGUUUAGGUCCCUAAAAUAGGGCACAAAGCAAACAUGUUGCGUGCCUUUUAAACACUGCCAUGCAUAUAACCUAAAUGUCAUGUAUGCCUUUGCUGUAUGAUUAUUUAUGGAUAUUGUCAUACUGUGUACAUCCCCGUGUUAUGCUUUUGCGCGUCUACAUCAUGUCGUCACCCACGUGUUGUAUGUUGGUCUCGUCUUUUGUCAUGGGAAGCCGGAAGAUCCAUAUCACCUUUUUAACUACACACAUGGGGCACUGCACCCCCAAAUGUGCAAGUAAGAAGAGAUGAUUUUCCAGGCUCUCGUGUCCAUAAAUGUAUUCAUAUCAUGCAUCACAUAAGCAUCUCUUCAUGGCAUCAUAAUGAACAUAUCGUUCCUGCAUUUGUCCGUUAUCAUAUUCCAGCAUCACAUUUUGCAUGAGUCAUUGCAUCAUCAUGCAUAUGCGUUCAACAUACUUUUUGUUCUACAAACUGCAUACCUUUUGUUUUCAUGUUUGCUCAUGCAUGAUCCUUGUGUUUUCCUCUGCAAAACAAAAACAAAAAAGGAAGCGUGAAAAUUCACACUACAUUCUUAGUUGCAUGUGUUAGGUACCAUGAGCCAACCAUGUUGGGAUCAUAAACCCAUUUCUAAAAAUAAAACAAAACAAAAUGAUUGAGCAUGGUACCUAAUGCAUGGUUAACUAAGAAAAAAUGUUUCUUUAGGCAUCUCAAUAUCAUAAUUACAUUUUCCAUGCAUAGCAUACGUAUUCCCGAGUCUUUCAUCUCUAUGAAAUGUUGUUGAAGUAUUGGCAAUCAGAAUUGCCAUUCCUGGGAUUAUAGGGUUGAACCAAGCUCAUGCUUUUGCGAAAAGGUUCAUCAAGUCAAGUUGAAGUAUAGAAGUAACCAUCUUGCAAAAAAUUGGGGCAAAAGAUGGAUCGAGUUACAUCGCUGCUUCAUCUACUACCAAACACAUUUAGGACUGUUGAUGUCCUUAUUACUUCUAGUUUCACCUUAACAAAGAUGUCAUGGACCAUGUUGAAAAUCUAAAUUGAUUCAACCCCAUGUCCUACGUAAAAAUUCACAAUACUGCAUCAUUCGCAUACAUCCAUGCUUUUCAUUGGUUGCAUUGCUCAUUGCAUUAUUUCCUUGAAAAAAAAAUGAACUUAAUCAUUGUUAUAAAAAAGAAAAGAACACGCUUUACGGUACCCUUACCGAACCCGUGCUAGAGCUAGAGUAAUGGGUGAGGUGCAAGAGCAAUGAAGGCCGACAUGGAGGCCUUGAAAGAGCAAAUGGCCACAAUGAUGAAGGUCAUGAUGAGCAUAAAGGAGAUAAUGGAAGCCAAUGUGGUUGCAGUUGCCGCUGCCAGCGCUGUUGCUAAGGUGAACCCGACACCCCCAUUUGGCCUCAAACAAAUAAAUCAUCCAACCUCAAAUACGGUAGGUAUGGUGGGCAAAGAUUUGGAAAGUACGGACGGCCCCAUGAUGUGCAAAUUCAAAACGAGCACGCCUUCCCGCCAUAUGGCUUGCCUCCCAACUAUACACCACCCAAUGUGGCGUACACUCCCAAUGAGAAUGUCAAUAACUCCACUCCGAUACUCAUUGAGAGCCAACAACCUCAAUCUAAUCAUGCACAUGUCUCUCAAACCGUGGGAGAGACACAUGAAAUUCCCCACCACAAUCUAGCCGACUUCGAGCCUUGCCUCGGAUAUGCCACUGAAGGGCAAGCAGUUGGUGAUAUACCCCUGCAAAACACUUUGGAGGGCCCUCAGUAUCACCCACAACCACACCUCUUGCAUUCCGCAUUGGGUAAAAACCCUCAUGCUAUGACAGAAAUGGGAAAGUUGGAUCAUCUAGAGGAAAGGCUCAAGGCCAUUGAAGGAGGCUGAGAUUAUGCCUUUACUGUCAUAGAAGAGUUGUUCCUAGUACCCGAACAUGGUCAUUCCCAAGUCCAAGGCACUGGACUUUGACAAGUACAAUGGGAGUACUCGCCCCAAGAACCAUCUAAGGAUGUAUUGUCGAAAGAUGGGGGCAUACGCAAAAGAUGAGGAACUAUUGAUACAUUUCUUCCAAGAAAGUCUUACUAGGGUAGCUGCUACCUAGUACACUAACUUGGAACCUUCCCGAGUCCAUUCUUGGAAGGACCUAAUGGUUGCCUUCGUUAGGCAGUAUCAGUACAAUUCUGAUAUGGCUCCGGAUAGGAUGCAACAACAGAACAUGUGCAAAAAGGGGGCACGAAUCUUUCAAAGAAUACACCCAAAGGUGGAGAGAUCUGGCAGCCCAAGUGGCACCCCCAAUGAUGGAAAGAGAGAUGAUAAUCAUGAUGGUAGACACAUUACCAGUAUUAUACUAUGAAAAGAUGGUGGGCUACACACCUUCAAGCUUUGCUGAUUUAGUUUUCGCCAGCGAAAGGAUCGAAGUGGGUCUAAAAAGAGGUAAAUUUAAUCAUCCUGCUUGGACGAACGAGAAAAUUAGGGCAAAUGAAGAGGGUGAGAAUGAAGGAGAAACCCAUGCUGCGACUGCCGUCCCUACAUGGAAACUCCCCCACCAGCUCAACAACAUCAUUACUCAGCCAAUAUCAGCCCUUCUCAUUACCCACCACCUAGUCAUCCACAAAGACCAUUCAUAAAUCAACCACAAAGCUUGUCUACCACACUUCCAAUCACGAACCAAAACACCAAUGAAGGAAGGAAUUUUGCAGCGAAAAAGCCUAUAGAAUUCACCCUAAUUCCAGUGUCCUAUGAUGACUUGCUCCCAUAUCCACUCGAUAAUUCAAUGGUAGCCAUAACCCCAACCAAGGAUACGACUCGAACGCAAUGCGUGCUUGUCAUGGAGAAGCCCCGAGGCAUUCCAUUGAGCACUGUAUGACCUCGAAGUGUAAGGUGCAAAGUCUAAUUGAUGCGGGCUGGCUGAAAUUUGAGGAGAAUCGCUUGUGAAUCCUAACAUUGACAAGCGACACCACACAUGGGGCAAUUUUGAAAGCUGUUGUUAGAUGUCUCUAAUGAAUCAUCAGGAUUUUCAAGUUUAUGCCAUUAUUGUAAACCACAGUUACAAUGCUAAAUAAUAUGGAUAAAUUUGACACCUUUGUGCCUCAUCCUCUCGUAAUUACAUCUUUGCUUCCACUGGAAUGUGGGUGCAUGCCAUUGGUUUGUUUGCUCAAGCGACCUGCACUCCUGAGUUUGGACUUCCAAGACCGUUCAAUCAGAAAAUUACUCGUGCUACACAUUUGGUGAGGAUGCCGUAAACAACGAGUAAAGCAGAAAAGUUCAAAAAGAAAAAGAAAAAAAAAGCAUUUGAUUGACUGUGUUUUCAAGUAAAAAUAUAGACAUUCAUGUGACCUCAUUUUAUCAUUCCUGAAAGUUUGUCUUUUUGAGAGAGAAGUGAAUUAUCAAGAAUAGGAGUCAUUUGACUUAAUCUGUCAACUGAAAAAUCCUUCAACUGUUUCUCGUCCUUGAAAAUCCUUUUUGAGAAUUAACCGCUUCUUUCAUUCUUCCUUGCUACAAGGUUGUGAAAACAAAACAACGAUGGAUACCUCAGAGCCCUACACUGGGGCAAUGAAAGGCACCAUGCAUAAACCUCAAGCGAACCUAGGGGCAAAUUAGAAGUUCUCACCCAAUAGGUUCCCUGCUACAAGGUUGUGAAAACAAAACAACGAUGAUACCUCAAAGCCUUACACUGGGGCAAUGAGGGGCAUUGUGCAUGAGCCUCAAGCGAACCUAGGGGCAGAUCAAAAGUUCUCACCCGUCGAUGUUUUUAAACAAAAAAAAAGAGGGAGUGACAAACCUUGGGAUUUCAAUGGAUUGAUUAAAUGGCUCCAUUGCCGUCACUCCAAAAUGGUCAAGUGUUUAAAUCAAACAUAACAUACACUCUGAGGGAGUUCCCGGAGAGAUUUGAAAAAGAGAGGAUAAGGUUGCAUGAAUUAUCACCUUUUUCAAAAGGACAGUCAAUCUGUGUUUUCCAAAAAAAUUAAAUCAAAAUCAUAAAAUAGGGAAAGAAUGUCAUGAACAUUGUACAACUUUCCAUUACAUUGCAUUGUUUCAUACGAAGUUCGCAUUUAUUGCAUUUUAAGACAAAGGUUGCAUGCAUCUGCAUCCCUAAAAAUCAUGUUGACUGCAUAGAUUUCCUCAUCUAAUGUCUAAUCUUUUGAAUUUGGGAUGACCGGCCCUCUCAAUGAGUCAAUCUCAUGCUUUCUCAUAAGGGUGGACCCUUGGGUACUAGUACCCUCACCUUCAGAGGACUACACAUCCUCACCUUUAGAGGACUACAAGUCCUCGCCUUCAAAGGGCUACACGCCCUCACCUUCAGAGGACUACAGGUCCUCGCCAUCAGAGGACUGCACGUCCUCACCUUCAGAGGACUACAGGUCCUCGCCUUCAGAGGACUACAGGUCCUCGCCUUCAGAGGACUGCACGUCCUUGCCAUCAGAGGGCUACAUGUCCUCACUUUCAUAGGGCUACACGCCCUCACCUUUAGAGGGCUACACAUCCUCCCCUUCAUAAGACUAUACGUCCUCGCCAUCAGAGGGCUGCACGUCCUCGUCUUUAGAGGGUUGCUCGCCCUCGCCUUCAGAGGACUACACGUCCUCGCCAUCAGAGGGCUGCACGCCCUGGUCUUCAAAGGACUACACGUCCUCGCCUUCAGAGGACUGCACGUCCUCGCCUUCAGAGGACUGCACGUCCUCACCAUCAGAGGAUUGCACGUCCUUGUCUUUAGAGGGCUGCUCGCCUUUGCCUUCAAAGGACUACACGUCCUCGCCAUCGGAAGGCUACACGCCCUCACCUUCAGAGGACUACACGUCCUCGCCAUCAGAGGGCUGCACGCCCUCACCUUCAAAGGACUGCACGUCCUCGUCUUCAGAGGGAUGUUCGCCCUUGCCUUCAAAGGACUACACCUCCUCACUAUCAGAGGACUACACGUCCUCGCCUUCAGAGGACUGCACGUGUUCAUCUUCAGAGGGCUGUUCGCCCUCACCUUCAAAGGACUACACAUCCUCGCCAUCAGAGGGUUGCACGCCCUCACCUUCAGAGGACUGCACGUCCUCACCUUCAGAGGACUGCAGAUCCUCACCUUCAGAGGACUGCACGUCCUCGUCUUUAGAGGGCUGCUCGCCCUCGCCUUCAAAGGACUACAAGUCCUCGCCAUCAGAGGGCUACACGCCCUCACCAUCAGAGGACUACACGUCCUCGCCUUCAGAGGACUGCACGUCCUCACCUUAAGAGGACUGCACGUCCUCGUCUUCAGAGGGCUGCUCGCCCUCGCCUUCAAAGGACUACACGUCCUCGCCAUCAGAGGGCUGCACGCCCUCACCUUCAAAGGAUUACACGUCCUCGCCAUCAGAGGGAUGCACGCUCUCACUUUCAGAGGACUACACGUCCUCGCCAUCAGUGGGCUGGACGCCCUCACCUUCAGAGAACUACACGUCCUCACCUUCAGAGGACUAUAAGUCCUCGCGUUUAGAGGACUACACGUCCUCACCUUCAGAGGGUUGCACGCCCUCACCUUUAGAGGACUACACGUCCUCACCUUCAGAGGGCUGAACGCGCUCGCCUUCAUAGGGCUACACGCCCUCACCUUCAGAGGACUACAUGUCCUCUCCUUCAGAGGGCUACAUGCCCUCGCCUUUAGAGGACUACGCAUCCUCGCCUUCAGAUGGGCUAUACGCCCUCUCCUUCAGAGGGCUGCAAGCCCUCGCCUUCAAAGGGCGACACGUCCUCGACUUCAGAGGGCUGCACACCCUCACCUUUAGAGGGCUACGCAUCCUCACUUUCAGAGGGCUACACAUCUGCGCCUUUAGAGAAAUUAAGGCCCUCUGCCCUUAAUGCUUAACUGAGACUUGCGCUCCCGGUUAAGGGGCUAGUAGUUUCCUUUUAUCAGUUCUUGGGCCACCCCCUGAUCUCGGAGGAGGGCCAACUGUGCGAGCACAACCAGAGGGAGGCUAUCGCGCAGCUAUUGUGCAUACCGGGGCAAGAUUUCACCCGUGCCGCUGCAAAGAGACGAGUGCGGAUCAUGCGCACCAACAUGACUACUCUUGCACAGAUAUGGAUGACGUUGCUACUUAGCAACAUUCUGCCCAGUGACCAUAAUGCCGAUCUCCCCCUACGGAAGUAUCAGUUGGUCUGUGCCGUCAUGACAUAGGUAAGUAUGCACGUGGCUCAAUUGAUUUCUGAUACCAUCCACUAUUUGCAGGGAUCGCUCCCACAAGACACCUAGUGGACCCGGAGGAGCCCAACAGGGCCCUGGGGUUUCCAGCUCUGGUUACGGGCCUCUGUCAUUCCUACAGGGUGCCCGUCCCCCCCAGCAAGGUCAUGCCAUUGUGACAUAGGUAAGUAUGCGCUUCUCUCAAUUGAUUUCUGAUGUCAUCUAUUGUUUGCAGAGAUCGCGCCCGCAAGACACCUAGUGGACCCGGAGAAGUCCAAUAGGGUCCUAGGGAUUCCAACUCUGAUUACGAGCCUUUGUCAGUUUUACAGAGUGCCUGUCACCUCCAGUAAGGUAAUCUAACCGCCGAUCACCCGAGCCUUCAUCGAGAAGUACUGCACCACCUCGGUAGGCCGAUCCAGCAGGGCCACUGGGCGUGGAGCAUUAUCUACAGCAUUUGGUUCGCCAGCAGGCGGCCAACCACCGUGGACAGGUGCAGAUACAUGAGUGUCUCUACCGGUUCAGCCUCAGUCACUAGGGGCAGGGUUCCGCCUCUUUUGUAUGCCCUACCCUGGAGCAGUUUGGGGCUGAGGUCGCAUGCCCUGGAGACUGGCCCGAUGCCCAGGCAAGGGAGGAGUCUGCAGGAUCCCCCGAUGAGGCGGAUGAAUUCCAUAUGGAUGAAGAUAUGACUGACCUACUCGGUUUCUUGGGAGGGAGCGGAGCCACGUGACCAAGGUCGCCACACUUUUUGUUAUUAACAUUAUUGCUUUCAGUUAUUGUUUGUGUUGUUAUUAACAUUACUGCUUUCAGUUAUUGUUUAUGCUUCUGCUAGAAUUUGGCGUUAUGGCUCUUAGUUAUUUCGUCACCGUUUUUAUUACGACUUACCAUUGCAUGUUUUUUCGUUUACCUUGUGGUUUGACGUGAGUAGGUGGUGUGCGCCCUCAUCCGCACGACCUUUUCGGAAAAAAAAAAGAAAUAAACAAAUGAUAAUAACUUAAUAGAAAAAGAAAAAAAAGAGAAAAAGAAAAAUAAAUUGUCUAGCUGAAAAGCCAACAUGCUUUUGAAGAGAAAUAACUUCCAGCUUUUCUUUGAAAAAGAUUCACUGAUCAUAACCAGUUUUUGAAAAAAAAAUGUGUAUACACCUGAAGGGUGAAUGCUGUGAAAAUAUUCCUGAACGCCCAAAAUAGACUCGGAUGAAUGCAUGAAUUGAUAAAAGAACAUGUUUUGGAAACACUGGGUUGACUUAAACAGGGAAAAUGAAACCUGAGCCCUAGUGUCACAUGACCAUAAAAACUUGAUGCUUGAGUGUCCACAUGGGUGCAUGCAUGACCAGUUUUGCAUAAAAUUUCCUAAUCAUCAUUGUUGCAUGUGUGUCAUGGAAAUAAUGUGGGACAUCUCCUUUAUCCCUGAACCGCUGGCCAAACCAACACUCUGACAUAUAUCAUGUCCAGCCGUUCUACAAGCCUUGAGCCAAUGAUGGAAGCUUGCUUGUGGGGCUUCUAUGGAGGCUGGAUCUUUGAGCUUCAAUGAGGUCCUUUAAUGGUGAUUUUCCACCAUGGAGAUGAAGCGGAAGACAAAGGAAAAGAGGUGAGAGGAGGCGCCAUUCAUUAAGGAAUAAGCCAUGGAAGAAGGAGCUUCACCACCAAGAUGAGCCUUGGAUAAGAAGCUUGGAGAGGAUGCUUCAAUGGAGGAAAAGAAAGAGGGAGAGAAAGAGAGAGGGGGGAGCACGAAAUUGAAGGAAUAAAAGAGGGAGAGAAGUGGAACUUUGAAGUAUGUCUCACAAGACUCUCAUUCAUCAAAGUUACAACAAGUGUUACACAUGCUUCUAUUUAUAGACUAGGUAGCUUCCUUGAGAAGCUUUCUUGAGAAAACUUCCUUGAGAAGCUUCUUUGAGAAAACUUCCUUGAGAAGCUAGAGCUUAGCUACACACACCCCUCUCAUAACUAAGCUCACCUCCUUGAGAAGCUUCCUUAAGAAGAUUCCUAAAGAAGCUAGAGCUUAGCUACACACACCUCUCUAAUAGCUAAGCUCACCCCCAUGAAAAAAAACAUGAAAAUACAAAAAAAAAAGUCCUUACUACAAAGACUACUCAAAAUGCCCCAAAAUACAAGGCUAAAACCCUAUACUACUAGAAUGGCCAAAAUACAAGGCCCAGACGAAGGAAAAACCUAUUCUAAUAUUUACAAAGAUAAGCGGACUCAUACUUAGCCCAUGGGCUCGAAAUCUACCCUAAGGCUCAUGAGAACCCUAGGGCCUUCCCUUGGAUCUCUAGCCCAAUCUACUUGGAGUCUUCUACCCAAUGCCCUUGCGGGGAAGGAUUGCAUCAGCCAAAAUCCCAACUCACCAUAAAUCUUCACCUAGGUUAAGAAUGCCCAUCCUUGCCCUCAGAAGAAAAGAGAGUUCCCGAUCAAAGACCGGAAGAAAGCAAAAAGAAAUUUCCGAUCAAAGAUUGGAAGAAAGCAAAAAGAAAAAAGAAAGAAAAUCCCCGAUCAAAGAUCGGAAGAAAAUAAAUAUACAGAAAGGUCUUUGGGCCAGACAAUAUCUGAACAAUACAGAAUUAUCACCACCAAAUAAGGAAAGAAAGGAAACCACGACCUAAAGUGGUCCUCUCCCUUUGAUUGCCAACCAAAAUCCUGUGCGUCGGUGACUUGUUCGCCUCACACUAAACAAAACAGAAAAGGAAAAGGCCAAAAGACUCAGAGCAAAAAUCCCCUCCAAAAAACACUAUUCCCGAAAAAGUCCUAUUGAUCCAUGAUCACGCAUGUAAUCUUUGAUUUGAUAGGAAAUGAUUUGCAAAAUCAAGUCAUGACAUAUAUAUGGUUCGGAAUUAGGAUAAAACACUUACCUGUGUGAGAUUGAUACACUUUGAGUGAUUUUCUUCUAUUUUGUUGGACCCAGUGUUUCCUCUAAAUGGUCGUUUAGAAACGAAACGCAAACACCCGAAAUCUCAUUUAUGGUUAUGAGAAAAUUUCACCAGCAUAUUCUCCUUCCCUAAUAGACACAUUGUUUUUCAUCAAAAAAUUAUAUGUUACUCUGAUCAGUUGGGAGUUUUGUUUCUUUACUAAAGCAUGUUCGCAUUUUAGUUAAAGAACACCGAGACUAUUUUUAGUCUCACACAGUUAGCAAGAACUACGUAGGUCUGAGUUCCUCAUCAUGAAUUGAGGAUACGUAGGAGCAAAAGCCCUGCUUUUGUCGACCACCCUACCUUUUGCUACCGUGACCCAAGAGUCCGGUGGCAUGUGGAGACACCCGACGGUAACCCGCACACAACCUUUGCUAUCCAGCGACCCGAGAGUCCAGUAACAUGCGGAGACACCUUACGGUUAUCCGCACCUCGUCAUUCGGAGACCCCAAGUCGGAUUGACAAGCAGAGACCAAUGUGGUCAUCUGCACCCUUUCUGGAGAUGCCAGCAUCUUCCGGUAGAGACUAUUUCAGUCUCACACUUCUUUAGCAAGAACUACGUACGUCUGAGUUCCUCAUCACAAAUUGAGGAUACGUAGGAGCAAAAGCCCUGCUUUUGUCGACCGCCCCACACUUUCUGUCAUACUGACUCGUGAAGUUAGGUGACGUGCAGAGAUACACAAGUAAUUUCUCCGCACAGACAAUUUCUGUCAAUACUAACCCGUGAAGUUAGGGGGCAGGCGAAGAUACACAAGUAAUUCUCCGUAUAAACACUCUUUCGCUAUCCGUAAGACUCAAAGCAUGAUAGCAUGCAGAGACUAACGUCGUCUUCUGCACCCUUUGUCAAUCGCGGCCAACGAGCCCGUUGACACGCGGAGAUUUACGUUGUCUUCCGCGCUGUCUGUCAUACUGACCCGUGAAGUCAGGUGACGUGCGGAGAUACACAAGUAAUUUCUCCGCACAGACAAUGUCUGUCAUACUGACCCGUGAAGUCAGGUGACGUGCGGAGAUACACAAGUAAUUUCUCCGCACAGACAAUUUCUGUCAUACUGACCCGUGAAGUCAGGUGACGUGCGAAGAUACACAAGUAAUUUCUCUGCACAGACAAUUUCUGUAAUACUGACUCGUGAAGUCAGGUGACGUGCGGAGAUACACAAGUAAUUUCUCCGCACAGACAAUUUCUGUCAAUACUAACCCGUGAAGUUAGGCGGCAGGCAGAAAUAUCCAAGUGGUUAUCCGUAUAAACAUUCUUUCGCUAUCCAUAAGACUCAAAGCACGAUAGCGCACAGAGACUAACAUCGUCUCCUGCACCUUCUGUCGUCCUGACCCGUGAAGUCAGUUGACAUGCGGGGUUACCUUGUGGUUACCCGCACUUUUCUUCAACCAGGGGCAAACGAGUCCGUUGACGCGCAGAGACUAACAUUGUCUCCUACACAUUCUGUUGUCCUGACCCGUGAAGUCAGGUGACAUGCGGGGUUACCUUAUGGUUACCCGCACCUUUCGUCAACUAGGGACAAACGAGUCCGUUGACGCGCAGAGACUAACAUCGUCUCCUGCACAUUCUGUCGUCCUGACCCGUGAAGUAAGGUGACAUGCGGGGUUACCUUAUGGUUACCCGCACCUUUCGUCAACCAGGGGCAAACGAGCCCGUUGACACGCAGAGACUAAUAUCGUCUCCUGCACCUUUUGUCGUCCUAACCCGUGAAGUCAGGUGACAUGCGGGAUUACCAUAUUGUUACCCCCACCUUUCGUCAACCAGGGGCAAGCGAGCCCGUUGACACGCUGAGACUAACCAAGUCUUCUGCACCUUUUUUCGUCCUGACCCGUGAAGUCAGGUAGCAGGCGGAGAUAACUUAUGGUCAUCCGUACCUUUCGUCAACCGAGGGGAACGAAUUCGACGGUAUCAGGAUGAUGUUAGUCGUUCGAUUCUGAUUAUUUUCAAAAAUUUUGCAGGUUUUACUCUCGUCAUCCGAAAACAUUCAAGUCCGACGACGCGUGAGAUUCUUCUCUGCUGGGCAGGGACGAUCGAGUGCAAUGGCGUAGGGAAGUGUCGUGGUUGUCCAACUUUGCCACUUCCAAGACACUGAAGUUUGUUGACGCUUCUGAUCCCUUUUCUUUUCUUUCUGAAUGACAGGUUUCGCUGGUGGGGAUAUUGACCGGCCGAAUGAUGUUCCGCUCGAACGAAAUUAGUGUCUUAUCUUUACUUCGCUUUUAUCUCCAAUAAAAGACAAGUAAAGAGGGGCAACUAUCAUACCCUAAUUUCGUCUGGGGACCACUGUUUGGUGGCAUACAACCUUCGCUUGACCACUUCGAGGUACUUAACAUCCAUCGUUAGGCAAUCCGUGAAGUUUCGCGGCAAGCCAGAAGUCAAAAGGAAGCAUUGUUGCGCAAUCCGUAAAGUUCCGCAACAUUCCAAAGGUCAAAAAGGGCAUUGUUGCAUAAUCCGUAAGGUUUCGCGAUAUUCCGGAAAGAAAAUAAGUGUCGUUAUGUAAUCCGUAAAGUUCCGUAACGUUACGGAAAAGGAAUCAGCAAAAAAACACAAAGGGGAGGUGUAUUUAGUAAAAUAUGGGGUGCAAAUAGCAAUUAUCAAAUCUGGGCCCUUCUAGAGGAUUCUGGGCAUUUUCUUGCUUAAGGUGGAAGCAAACUAGCUCACCUGGCGAGCUGGGCGGCAACCACCUCCCACAUUUUGUUAAAAAAAUGGCUUCCGUGGCUUUCGGGACUUUCGUAAUGCUUUCGUAAAAUUCUCAUAACCUUAAAUAAGCAUAUUUCACUUAAUAUGGGUGAGAAUGAAGAGAAAAAAAGAAGAAAGUCAAGUCCUAUAUGAUUCCGUAAGGCUUCCAUAACUUUUCCGUAAAUUACGAAAGAAGGGGGGGUGAACUUAUCAAGUUGGGGGUGCAAAUAACAAUUUUCAAAUUUUUGAAUUUGGGCCUUCCAAAACAGUUUCGUAGCAGGGUUGCUUAUGGAGGAAGCAUCCCAACUCGCCUGGGCGAGCUGGGUGGCAACCUCCUCCCCCCUUUUCCUAUAAAUCGGCGAAGGGAGGCUAUUCCAAAGAUCCCUAACCCCCCAUGCUAUGCAUUUCAGCUGUUUUGGGUGAAAAAAAUUUGUUUCCGUGAAGAAAAUCCAAGUCGAGGUUCGUCCGUAACGCUUCCGAGACAUUUCCGUGAGCAAAUUCGUGAAGGUUUUCCGUCGUUCUUCACCGUUCUUCAUCCGUUCUUCGUUCUUCAACGGGUAAGUUUUCGAAUCCGAGACUUUCAAUUCAUUUCUUGUUUUUUUAGCUUUCAUCUUCAUUUCGUUCAUUUUUGGUUUUCUUUUCUUCCGUUUUUAACGAGCUUUUACCGUUUAUUUAAACCGUUUUCUCACCUAGUAAAUGAUAAAAUGAAUUUCAACCGAUCAUUUGUGUUGUAAUCUCGUUUAAUCACUGUUAAAACAAAAUCUAACCGAUCGUUCACACUGUAACCACGGUUAAACCAAAAAAGGCAAAAUAAUAAUAAAAUAAUCAAAAUAUCUUAAAAAAUAAUAAUAAAAUAAUCAAAAUAUCUUGAAUAAAAUAAUCAAAAAAAUCAAUCCAACGUUUUUCUUUGGGAGUUUCCUUGAAUGAAUUGACUAAUAACUAAAGUGAAACUAAAGCUAAAAUCAACAUACAAAUCAAGCUUUGUCCGCAAAAAAUCACUAAAAACCGUUUUAAGGUCCAAUGCCUUAAACGGUCCUCUUUGCUUUUAUCGGUUAACAUGGACCGUUCAAAAGCAUAAAAUCAACAUGUAACUUUACCGCUUUUGCAAAAACUAUGUAGGUCUGAUUUCCUCAUCGCAAUUGAGGAUACGCAGGAGCAAAAGCCCUGCUUUUGUCGACCACCCCAAGAGAUCGUUAAUGGUCCAAUGCCUUAACGUUUCUCUACUUUCAAAAACCAAGAGAUCGUUAAUGGUCCAACGCCUUAAUGUUUCUCUUCUUUCAAAAUCAAAAGAUCAUUUAAUGGUCCAAUGCCUUAAACGACAUUUGUUCAGUCAAAAUAUAUCUUGCAAAAAAAGAUAAGAACAACUUAACCAACGUUCAGUUCUCAAAGAACUACGUAGGUCUGAUUUCCUUAUCGCAAUUGAGGAAUACGUAGGAGCGAGGGAAACACCCUUGUCGACCACAAAAAGAUAAAAAAUACAAAAGGCAUAAAAAGACAUAAAAACGUAAAAAAAAUGGGAAAAUAAAACAAAUUGAAGUCAUAUUUGCACACUUGAUUAAAGGCUGUCGUCCCUUGUGACGGACGCGUGGGGUGCUAAUACCUUCCCCGUGCGUAAAUACAACUCUCGAACCUUUCACACUUAAAGUUCGUGGACCACACCUUUCCGGUUUUUUCGACGUUUUCCUCGAAUAAACGUUGGUGGCGACUCCGCGCAUUUUCCUCCCAUGGAAUACGCACCCGUGAGCCCCGCGUCACCCUCCCGCCGAAGGGUAGGUUAUGUCAUCAUGAAUAUAACCUAAAAAUUCACAUGAAAGUACGGUAAAAAAAACCUAAUUAUCACCUUCAACCCUUAAAUUUUCUUUCCCAACUACCAAGUCGACCUUAUAACUCUUUUAUUUUAUUAAUUACAAACACAAUUAAUCUUACAAUAUUUGACCAUUUAAAUAUUAAAUAGAAAUUAGCAUUAAUUUAAAACAACCAACAAAUUAAAUUGUUAAUUUUCAUCAUGAGUACCACUAAACAAACAAAUAAAAAUACUAGUUUGUAAGGAAUAAAUUUAAAUCAUAAAAGUUCAAAUAAAGCAGUAAUAAUGAUUGUUUAUUCUAGAAUAGAAUUUCCUUUUACCAAAGUGAGUACUUAUUUUAACCACCACAAAUGAGUUAUCACAUCCCAUUUGAGUGAGUGAUUUUUGAAAGUGCUAAAUAAGAAGGACCAUCAUGAGACCAAGCUCUUUCUGCUAAUUGCUUAAGCUCUUUAGCCCUUUCCCUCAUUACACACCCUUCUUUGUCAUCCUUAUCCAUUAUCUUCCUUAUUGCUUUUGAUAACUCCUCCCUUCCAACCAUAUUGGUAGAUGGUGACACCUAUACUCGAAUUGCAUUGCCAACUUCCUCCAUUAGCAUCGUAGCAUUCAUCAUUUGCUCUGCAAAAAGAGGCAAUCCAAUUAUUGGCACCCCACAUGAAACACUCUCUAUUAAUGAGUUCCACCCACAAUGAGACACAAAACCACCAAUAGAUGGGUGCUUCAAAAUAUCCAAUUGUGGUGCCCAAUCUGUGAUCACAAUUCCAUUGGUUUGUAUGCGGUAGAACUCAUCAGGAAAAGAAUUUGAUGGUUCAUUAUUAGACCCAAGGGUAGUUCCGGUUUCUCCAAGAGGUGCACCUACAAUUCAACAUAUAAAUUAAUAAUUAUAUGAUGAAAACUCAAGCACAAUAUAAAAAUUACUACGAUGGUACUCUAAAACAUCAAUUCUAUAUCAUUAAGGGAAAAAGGGAACUAAUUAAUUCUACAAUAGAAUAAUAUAUGAUAUAAUAGUUCUGAUGAUAAUUAAUUUCAAAAGUCUCACUCUAGUGAAAAUACUUGCGUACGUGUGAAAGUGAGAAAAACUAAUAUCAAUCAUAAAUAAGGUCAAUACUUAAAAAUUCAUGUAAUCAUCAAAUCUAAAAAAUAUCACAAAAGAAAAAUUAAAUCUGUAAAAGUAUUAUCAUAUUUAAUAAAAUCUCAAUUAUCAUGUUAUUAUUUUUUAAAAUUAUCAUUAAUCAAUUAUUAUCAUCAUCAUAAUUAUUAUUGUCACCAUCAUCGUAAUUAUCAUAAUUUUUGUCAACAUAAUUAUUACUAUCAACAUAAUUACCAUCAUACGACCAAGAUAAGCAGUGAUAAUAAUAACAACUAUAAUCAUCAAUUAAUCUCACAUGUCAACUUAACUUGAUCCACUUCUUGACUUAUUGAAUUAUGCAAUCCAACUGACUUAUUUUAUUAAGUAAACGAAACCAUCUAGUAUCCAUAUAUAUAUAUAUAUAUAUAUAUAUAUAUAUAUAUAUAUAUAUAUAUAUAUAUAUAUAUAUAUAUAUAUAUAUAUAUAUAUUUUUUGAUUGAGAGUUUGAGACUCCCAACAAGUCUGAAAAAACACAGGCACAAUUAGGUGAUUCUGCCUUAAUUAUAAUAAAUAAAUAAAUAAAAUGUCACACUGUACCAACUCACCUGCUGUGAGAUAGUUGCCAGUGCCAGCUUUGGUGACAGGUGGGCGCACAGACCAAACAAAUUUAUUUCCACUCAGCUCCAACCCCAAAGCCAUCUCUUUCAUUUCCACAAAUGACAUUGUGUAUCCACUCCCAAGUGACACAUACACCACAAACUCUUCUUCUUGUUUGUCCAGCCACUCAAAAACAUCACCUAUUUUCCCCUCAUUGUUAGGUGUAUAAUUAGCCAUAUAAUUAGCCCUUAAUUAUAACUAAUCAAUUUGUAUUUGAUAGAAUAUAUUAUCAGAAUAUAUGAUAAGAUAUUCUAUCAGUAUUCUUAGCCUAGUUAAUCAGUUUGUAUUUGAUAGAAUAUAUUAUCAGAAUAUAUGAUAAGAUAUUCUAUAAGUAUUCUUAGCCUAACUUUACGCUUGUAAUUUUGUAUAUAAGCUAAUGAUGCUUAAUGAAUUAUUCGAGGAAACAAUUUCUUUCAUUAACAAAAUAUAUUCCCAUAUAUCUUAACAGGAAGCAAUCCAAGUACAAAGUUGAUAAUGAGUUCAAAUAUGUAAUUGAUUAUAAAAAUAUUAAUUUAGUUCAAAGGAUUAGGGUCUUAAAUGAAAUGAAUGAUUAAUAAAUUAAUUCAUUGAGGAUUCAUACAAUCAAUUUGAUCGUGCAAAUUAUAUGAAAAUGAUUACUUUUCAUAUCAAUCUAUCACAAACAGAUGAUCAUUGAGUACCACUAAACAUAAAGGUUCAAACAAACAAACAGAAAUACUAGUUUGUAAGGAAUAAAUUUAAAAGAUAAAGGUUCAAAUAAAACAAUAAUAAUAAUUGUUUAUUCUAGAAUAAAAUUUCCUUGUACCAAAGUGAGUACUUAUUUUAACCACCACAAAUAAGUUAUCACACCCCAUUUGAGUGAGUGAUUUUUGAAAGUGCUAAAUAAGAAGGACUAUCAUGAAACCAAGCUCUUUCUGCUAAUUGCUUAAGCUCUUUAGCCCUUUCCCUCAUUACACAUCCUUCUUUGUCAUCAGUAUCCAUUAUCUUCCUUAUUGCUUUUGAUAACUCCUCCCUUCCAACCAUGUUGGUAGAUGGUGACACCUCUACUCGAAUUGCAUUGCCAACUUCCUCCAUUAGCAUUGUAGCAUUCAUCAUUUGCUCUGCAAAAAGAGGCAAUCCAAUUAUUGGCACCCCACAUGAAACACUCUCUAUUAGUGAGUUCCACCCACAAUGAGACACAAAACCACCAAUAGAUGGGUGCUUCAAAAUAUCCAAUUGUGGUGCCCAAUCUGUGAUCACAAUUCCAUUGGUUUGUAUGCGGUAGAACUCAUCAGGAAAAGAUGGUUCAUUAUUAGACUCAAGAGUAGUUCUGAUUCCCCCUUCCUCACCUGCAUUGGUAAUAAUUUAAAAAUUGUCAUAUACGAUUAUUUUAAUAAUUCAAAUUCUUUCACGUUUUAGAAAAUUUCCUGUCGACUAAUAUGGCUAUAUCUAUGUCAAGAAACUUAACUUAAACAUAUCCAAGAGGUGCACCUAUAAUUCCACAUAUAAAUUAAUAAUUAUAUGAUGAAAACUCAAGCACAAUAUAAAAAUUACUACGAUGGUACUCUAAAACAGCAAUUCUAUAUAAUUAAGGGGAAAAUGGAACUAAUUAAUUCUACAAUAGAAUAAUAUAUGAUAUAAUACUUCUGAUGAAUAAAUAAUUCAAUUAUUAAAAUUUAAAAAAUGAAUUAUCUUCAUAUAUAUAGUCUCACUCUAGUGAAAAUACUUGCCUACUUGUGAAAGUGAUAAAAAUUAAUAUCAAUCAUUAGGUCAAUACUUAAAAAUUCAUGUAAUCAUCAAAUCUAAAAAAUAUCACAAAAUAAAAAUUAAAUCUUUAAAAAUAUUACCAUAUUUAAUAAAAUCUCAAUUAUCAUGUUUUUAUUUUUUAAAAUUAUUAUUAACUAAUCAUUAUCACCAUCAUCGUAAUUAUCAUAAUUUUUGUCACCAUAAUUAUUAUAAUCAAAAUAAUUAGCUUCAUCCGAUCAAGAUAAGCUGUGAUAAUAACAACUAUAAUCAUCAAUUAAAUAAUCUCACAUGUCAACUUAACUUAUCCACUUCUUGACUUGUUAAAUUAUACUAUCCAACUGACUUAUUUUAUUAAGUAAACGUUAUGACCAGCAUUUAUUUUGUCAUCUCUGUCUAGAUCAAGAUGCAUUAUAUAUAUAUAUAUAUAUAUUGAUGGAGAGUUUGAGACUUCCAAUAAGUCUGAAAAAACAGUCACAAUUAGGUGAUUCUGUCUUAAUUAUAAUAAGUAAAUAAAAAAUGUCACACUGUACCAACCCACCUGCUGUGAAAUAAGUUGCCAGUGCCAACUUUGGUGACAGGUGAGCGCACAGACCAAACAAAUUUAUUUCCACUCAGCUCCAACCCUAAAGCCAUCUCUUUCAUUUCCUCAAAUGACAUUGUGUAUCCACUCCCAAGUGACACAUAUACCACAGACUCUUCUUCUUGUUUGUCCAGCCACUCAAAAACAUCACCUAUUUUCCCCUCAUUGCUACCAUUAGGGCCUCUUUGAUCCCUUACUAGAGGCCCAACCGGGUACACGGGCACCUUGGUAAUAAUGUGUCCACUACCAAGUGCUUCAAGUGUCUUUGGCUCCAACUCAUGAAACGUGUUCACAAAUAUCCCAUCAGCCAGUGCUGCCCCUUCACACACGCCAACAAAUUCAUGGUAGACCCUUUGUGUCCUGUCACGCAACAUAGGAAUCAAAUCAAGGGGGUGAACGGAUUUGCAACCUGGGAUUGAGAUCGGUUUGCUUUCAAUGCUAUAUUCUCCUUCUAUUUCUUUAUCCAAAGUGGGGCAUUGAAGACUAAGUGCAAUGACCCAUGCAUUGGUUGGUGCAAAAGCAAAUAUGGGUAGGUUUAGGUUUUUGGCUAGAGGUAUAACUUGGCUGAAGAAGAAGUCAGUGAUGAUCAUGGUUGGGUUUAGGUUCAUGGUGGAUAUUGUAGACAUAAAAAGUAGUGGGAUUUCAUGCAUUAUAAUUGCUAGUUUGGUUUCUAAGGUGUCAUGAGGACUAACAUGGAUGGAGAGAUCAAUAGGGGGGAGUUGAAUUAGAUCGAAAAGGUUUUCCUUUAUGGCUGAUUGGAGAAUUUGUGUCUCAGCUUUUGAUGGAGUAGAGGUUUUGAUUGAACCAUAAAAGAAGGUGAGUUUGGAAAUGAUUUUGUGAGUGACUAAACGCUUGGCAAGUUCUAGGGCAGGGAUUAUGUGACCU
rnacentral:lncRNA from 1 species